CGCGUAGGCGGUUUGAACAGUUGGGCGUGAAAUUCCUGGGCUUAACCCGGGGGCUGCGCUCGAUACAUCCAGGCUGGAGUGAGGAAGAGGGUCGUGGAAUUCCCAGUGUAGAGGUGAAAUUCGUAGAUAUUGGGAAGAACACCGGUGGCGAAGGCGGCGACCUGGUCCUUUACUGACGCUGAGGCGCGAAAGCGUGGGGAGCAAACAGGAUUAGAUACCCUGGUAGUCCACGCUGUAAACGAUGUGCGCUGGAUGUUGGGCGACCUAGUUGCUCAGUGUCGUAGCUAACGCGGUAAGCGCACCGCCUGGGGAGUACGGCCGCAAGGUUGAA
rnacentral:rRNA from 1 species